GCCCCUAUAGCUCAGUUGGUAGAGCUACGGACCUUUAAUCCGCAGGUCGCAGGUUCGAGCCCUGCUGGGGGCACCA
rnacentral:tRNA from 1 species